rnacentral:rRNA from 1 species
GACGAACGCUGGCGGCGUGCCUAAUACAUGCAAGUCGAACGCAUUUUUUCUCACCGUAGCUUGCUACACCGAAAGAAAAUGUGUGGAGCUAGGGCGAGUUACGCGUUGGUAACCUGCCCAUCAGCGGGGUAUAAUACUUGUACACAGGGGCUAAUACUGCACACUUAGAUUUACCGCCUGGUAGAGUUGGCAAAGUGGCUUUUGCGUCACCUAUCGAUGCACCGGUGGUGCGUUAGCUAGUUGGUGGGGUAACGGCCUAUCAAGGCUGCGAUGCAUAGCCGACCUGAGAGGGUGAUCGGCCACACUGGGACUGAGACACGGCCCAGAAUCCUACGGGAGGCAGCAGUAGGGAAUCUUUGGCAAUGGACGCAAGUCUGACCGAGCAACGCCGCGUGAGUGAAGAAGGUUUUCGGAUUGUAAAACUCUGUUGUUAGAGAAGAACAAGGAUGAGAGUGGAAAGUUCAUCCCUUGACGGUAUCUAACCAGAAAGCCACGGCUAACUACGUG